rnacentral:lncRNA from 1 species
CAAGAUGGACAGGUGCUUCCUUGAGCUCCAGGUGGAUGGUGAGGAGGCCUACCAGACCUUCCAAAGGGUUAUUGAGAAUGCCAAUGUCAUCAUGGCUACCUAUGAAGACCCUCUUCUUGGUGAUGUCCAGGUCUACCCCGAGAAGGGAACUGUUGCUUUCUCUGCUGGUUUGCACGGUUGGGCAUUCACCCUUACCAACUUUGCCAAGAUGUAUGCUGAUAAGUUUAAAGUUGAUGAGGCAAAGAUGAUGGAAAGGCUCUGGGGUGAGAACUUUUUUGACCCAGCAACGAAGAAGUGGACCAGCAAGAACACUGGUUCUCCUACGUGCAAGCGUGGUUUCGUUCAGUUUUGUUAUGAACCCAUCAAGCAGGUUAUUGCUACCUGCAUGAAUGACCAGAAGGAUAAGCUGUGGCCCAUGUUGACAAAGCUAGGAAUCACCAUGAAGGGUGAGGAAAAAGAUCUGAUGGGAAAACCAUUGAUGAAGAGGGUUAUGCAGACCUGGCUGCCAGCCAGCAGUGCCCUACUGGAGAUGAUGAUCUUUCACCUUCCCUCUCCACAUACAGCUCAGAGGUAUCGUGUGGAGAAUUUGUACGAGGGUCCCCUGGAUGAUCAGUAUGCUAAUGCCAUCAGAAACUGUGACCCAGAUGGUCCUCUUAUGCUCUAUGUGUCUAAGAUGAUUCCCGCAUCUGACAAGGGUAGGUUCUUUGCCUUUGGCCGUGUGUUUGCUGGAAAGGUCCAAACAGGUUUGAAGGUUAGAAUCAUGGGACCUAACUAUGUUCCCGGAGAAAAGAAGGAUCUGUAUGUCAAGAAUGUACAGAGGACUGUUAUCUGGAUGGGAAAGAAACAAGAAACUGUUGAGGAUGUUCCCUGUGGUAACACUGUUGCCUUGGUUGGUCUGGAUCAGUUCAUCACCAAGAAUGCUACCUUGACAAAUGAGAAGGAAACAGAUGCUCACCCUAUUCGUGCCAUGAAGUUCUCUGUGUCUCCUGUUGUGCGUGUUGCUGUUCAGUGCAAGGUUGCUUCAGAUCUUCCCAAGCUUGUGGAAGGUCUCAAACGUCUGGCAAAAUCGGAUCCUAUGGUUGUUUGUUCUAUUGAGGAGUCUGGAGAGCACAUCAUUGCUGGUGCUGGUGAACUUCACCUUGAGAUCUGUUUGAAGGAUCUUCAGGAUGAUUUUAUGGGUGGAGCUGAGAUUAUUAAAUCUGACCCUGUUGUGUCCUUCCGUGAGACCGUUCUUGAGAAGUCAUGCCGUACUGUGAUGAGCAAGUCUCCCAACAAGCACAACCGUCUCUACAUGGAAGCACGCCCAUUGGAAGAUGGUCUUGCUGAGGCCAUUGAUGAUGGUCGUAUUGGUCCAAGGGAUGAUCCUAAAAUCCGCUCAAAGAUCUUGGCUGAGGAAUUCGGUUGGGACAAAGAUCUUGCUAAGAAGAUCUGGUGUUUUGGUCCUGAGACCACUGGUCCUAACAUGGUUGUUGAUAUGUGUAAGGGAGUCCAGUACCUCAAUGAAAUCAAGGAUUCUGUUGUUGCUGGGUUCCAGUGGGCUUCAAAGGAAGGUGCAUUGGCUGAAGAAAACAUGAGGGGUAUUUGCUUUGAAGUUUGUGAUGUUGUUCUCCAUGCUGAUGCUAUUCACAGAGGAGGUGGUCAGGUCAUUCCAACCGCCAGGAGGGUCAUCUAUGCUUCUCAGAUUACAGCCAAGCCAAGGCUUCUUGAACCUGUGUAUCUUGUUGAGAUUCAAGCCCCUGAGGGUGCUCUCGGUGGUAUCUACAGUGUUCUCAAUCAGAAGCGUGGACAUGUUUUUGAAGAAAUGCAGAGGCCUGGUACCCCACUGUACAAUAUCAAGGCAUACCUGCCUGUUGUUGAAUCCUUUGGGUUCUCUGGCCAGUUGAGGGCUUCCACUUCAGGACAGGCUUUCCCCCAGUGUGUGUUUGAUCAUUGGGAGAUGAUGUCUUCUGAUCCAUUGGAGACUGGUUCCCAGGCAUCUCAGCUGGUUCAAGACAUCCGUAAGAGGAAGGGUUUGAAGGAGCAAAUGACCCCGCUUUCCGAUUUCGAGGACAAGCUUUGAGAGACUAAUUUUAUCGGUCCCAUUGAUGAGGAAAGUUCCUCUGCUGCUCGUAGUACGAUUCACUGCCUAUUUUUUGUUUCAGUUUUUCAUUUCUUGUUUGAAGUUACCCUGUUGUUGUUGUAGUCAGCAUUCUGUUGAAGUAGCGACAUUUUGUGCUUGCCCAUAACAAGAUUAUGUAAUUUUGUUAUGUUCAUGUUGGUACAUUAUAUUUUGAUUUGAGCUUUUACAAUAUAAGUCUAGUGUUUGUUCCAUUCGAGCUUCUCUACUAUUAUAUCUUGGCAGGCAUACAUAUGAUUUGCUAUUAUAAUUUAUCAUGGUAUCUGGUAUCUGUAUUUUGAUUAGCAGUAAAAUAUAACAACAGUCAACAGGUCGGUCAAUCCUGGUUCAUUUUGAACAUUAUAAGCCAGAUUUCGCUGUUGAAAAUAUUUGUUUUGCAAAGUAUAUUUCUUUUCUUUUUUUCUUUGAAAGGCAAAUUGUAUUUCACCAUCAAUGAAUUAUGUUCAUUUUAUUAUGUGCCAUUGUGUCUUGAAUGUAUUCUUACAGCCAGGAGUAUUAGGCCAACUUCAUUGCUUCCUUCGUCUCUAUUCUUUUUUUAGAAAAUUUCAUAUAAGUCUACUUUGAGACAUUUUUUUCUACAUAAGUCCACCUAAAUAUUUUUACCCACAUAAAUCCACUUUUAAGCCUAAAUAUGUCAUUUUACUUUUACGAUCCUAAAAUACCCUCCGAUCUUUACACCAAGUCUGUUCCUCUCUCUCUCAUAUGGAUUUAGAAUUUCAGAUCGGACAUAAGGACCAGAGCCAAAUACGAUUAGUUGAGAGCUCCACAAGUGUCGUCCGCCGUGGUUGGCACGUCCUUCAUGGCGGUCCAGUCGUCGGCGGCGGAGAAGAAGACCGGGAUGGGAAACCAUAGAUCUGAACCUUCUCUCUCUAUCCAUUCUUCCACUUCGAUUCCGCCGCUGUCGUGACAAAGUUGCCGCCGCUUCAACGAUGACUUCUGGAUCCACAGUUGAAGACUCCUAGACGACCUCCGCUUCGGCCUCAACUGCAUCUCAUCAACGCGAAGGUUAAACCGAUUCCGAUGACGUGGUCCACCUCCUCUCUCUCUCGAUCUUCUCCUUCUCCUCUGAUUCCAUCAUUUCUCCGAUAAAGCUGAAGCCAUGGUAAGCCUUCAGAAGAUCGAGUGGACCGCCGUGAAUUGAGAAUGAGUACUGGAGGAGUUCCAAGUUUCAAAUUCUAUAGAAAUUGAGUGGACGAGAUAUUAGGGAAUUGUGUUCUGAUAGUGUUGGAAAUGAACGGGAUCGAGAUUUAUAAUUAUGAUGGUAUAUUUCUCACACUGUAAUAGUAUAUUUUUGACACAUUGAUUGGAUUUUGUAUUACUUGGUAGUAGCUUUUAUUAUGCAUGGUAGUAGCUUUUCUUGCUGGCGAUAGUAGCUUUUGUAGUCGGCGGUAGUAGCUUUUGUAGUCGGUGGUAGUAGCUUUUGUAAUCAGGGAUAGUAGCUUUUCUUGCUGGCGGUAGUAGCUUUUGUAGUCGGUGGUAGUAGCUUUUGUAGCUAGGGAUAGUAGCUUUUUUUGCUGGCCGUAGUAGCUUUCGUAACCGUCGAAAAUCUCAUCGGAAUUCGGCCGGAGACAUUGCCGGAGUCCGUCAGAGACCUCGCCGGAGGUCUGCCGGAGACUUUUCCGGGGAGAAGAGUGGUUGUUGACUUUUUACAUUAGUGGUAUUUUUGUAAAUAUAAAAGAGAAAAUCUAAUUGUUUUUGUUGGAUGGCAGUCUGUAAUUAUGUUGAACUUUAAUACUUAAAUCAAAACCUUAUUUAGGCCUGGGUGGACUUAUGCGGGUAAAAAUGUUGGGGUAGACUUAUGUGGGAAAAAAUAUCUCAAAGUGGACUUAUAUGUAAUUGGCCCUUCUCUUUUCCUGAAAAUGAGCUAGGCACAUUUGGGUCAGACUCGUGGCAUGUAACAAGAGAAUAUAGCCCCUCAUAAUCACUUUUCAAAAUUCCCACAUAUUUGGAGCCAGUAAUAACAUGAAAAGAGCUUUUGUUGAGAAUAGAGAAUCAUCAUCUUAUUUAUAUGAUAUGAGUCUUUUAUAUAGGGAUUACAUAGCACCUUUAGGUGUUGUACAAAGAAACAUAUUUUUGAUAUCCUAUCUUUAUACGGAAUCAAGAUUCCUCGUUUAACUAGCAUUAGACUAAGACACACAUGUGCAAUAUUUCUGCAACACUCCCCCUUGUGCCGUAUGUCUACAUGUCGAAUGGUGCAUACGGUGUUGCCUCGUCAAAACCUUGCCAAGUAACAAAAACUCUGUGGGAAAAACUAAACUUUGGUCGAAGGAGAAAAGAGUACACCGCACCAACUAUUUCAUUGAGAACUCGAUCAUGUGAUACUCCCCUGAUAAGUAUAUCUUAAUCGGAGAGACUUGAUAAACGUCGUAUUCCAAUGUUUUUCACAUGUUUCUUAAAAGUAGAUUUAGGCCAAGACUUAAGCAAGCCUGCCAUGUGUAAUGAUUAACAUUAACCAAACACAUUCAUGAACAACUUCAUGUGGAUCAAUGAUCUUUGCAAGAGACAAGCGGUAUAUGCGAUAUUGUCUCGUUAAUAACCUUGCCAAGCAAAAACCCAGUGAGACAAAAGUCUUGGUCUAAGGGAAAAAGAGCACAACGGGGUUGAUAUGACACAACCGCACCUUUUACAUUUGAUAAUGACAUGUAUGUGCUAGACUCCCCCUGAAGUUUUCAUCUCCCCUUGAUUCUUACAUCAACCAUAGGGCGCUUCCUGAUUCUUAUCACAGAACUUAGCAUAUCAAUACUCUUUAACAUGUCUUCAAAUGUGGAAUUGGACAAUGAUUAACUAAAUUAUGUCGUACUGACCUCAAUUUUGAUCUUUCACACAUUGAUCUUAAGGAGAAGGCUGCUUGAGAACUUAAAACACAAGUUCGCAUAGAAAAUCAAAUUCUCGCGUAACAUGACCUUCAAGACUAAAACAGCCAUAAUUUCCUGUAGAAAAUAGAUAUGGACAAACCGUAAGAAGAUCUAGAAAGUAGACUCACUUAGCUUUCCAACCAUAGGUCAUAAACAUUUUGGUUCGUCCGAAGCUAUUCACAAAGCUUUGUCGAAGUUGGCUGAUCAGAAAAAGACAGAUUUUCUGAUUUCGUUUUUUAUGCAUCUUUACUCAUCCAUAGUUAGUGAUGGCGUAGAUAGCGUCCAUUCUAUCAUGUCAUAUUCUAUAUAGGGAUUGAAUAAACCCAAAUACAUUUGCCAUUCUAUUGGUGUUGCGUGGGUGCAGAGCUACACUUAGCUUUACAACUUUUCAUAACGAAUGAGAGGUCAAGUCUUUCUUUGUCAUCUUCCAUUAGACAAAAACGGAUCUCUAUUUAGAGUAAAGACUUUGACUAAUCAUGGGAGUAUAUGUAGGCCUCACACUCAUUAGAGUGCUUAAGCCGAUUGAUGGAAAAACAUCAUCAAUAUAGUCCCCGAGUACCUUUUCGAGACCAUGUCUUCCCAAGAUCUUUUUCAUUCUUAACUUCGGAUGUUUGAUACAUAUUGGCAUCUCUUGUCUAUCAAGAGUCCAUGUAAAUCCGGAAUCAACACGCAAGGGCAUUAUUCACCAUAUCCAUUCCCAAUCAAGUAGUUACUUAGUGUGUGUUCCAACCUCUCUUGCAAACGCACGCUCUUGUGGACUAGAGCCACUUGAUUUGGGUGAAUGAAGUCUAUUCAAGACCUUCAUGUAUAUCUCUGAUCCUAUAGAGGUGUGUUUACAACCACAUUCAUAAGCUGCAUGUUCAGUUAUUCGAAAACUACCACACUGACAAAGUAGUGGACUGCAAUGACAUCUAUUACAAGAACAUAUCUCAUCCAAGGUUCUAAAAGGCGCCGCCUUGUCCCACCUAGGCUAUAGGCCGAGCUAAGCCGCUCGGAUUUUCUCCAAAGUGUUCAAGUAAGGCACUCAGCCGCCCAGGGACUGCCUAGGCGGUCAAGGCGCCAUCAAGGCGAAGCAGGCACGUCCAAAGCGGUCUUGGACUAGACGCAACUAGGUGAUGCCGGCACUUCCGAACAAAAAAAACCCAAUAAAAACUAAAACGCGUGCACGCCUUUGCGCCUCGUCGUGCUUUGAUUCUCGAAGAUGCCUUGGAGUUUUCCACCAUCGGAGCCACGAUUAACUUGGGUUGGGCGAAGCAGAGGACGUCGUCGUCGAGGUCUUCGGGAAUGUCCGAUGGUUGAGCAGUAAGGUCAUUUGAGAUAUGGGUUUGAGGGCGAGGUUUUGCAAGAGGAUUGGGAAGUUCGAAUUCCAUGAGAGGACGAUUCUGGAAUUGCUCCUCUACUGUGUGUUACAGAAUUGAAGCAGACGAGAUCAUUUACCAGAUCUGGGUUUGUUUGAUUUUUUUCUUUUUCUAGGAAUGAAGAGCAAGAAUGGGAUAGAUGUUCAGUCGAAAAAAGAAUGAGAUAGAUUAUUAUUGUUGCAAGUUGCAACACAGGUGGACAAGAGCAAGUUUGUUGAAUAAUGAAACCAAUGUUCGAAUCUGACAUUUGGUCAAUUAAAGAACCUCCCCACCGCACUGCCCCAUUUUAAUAAUCUCAAAUACUAAUAUUUAUAUUAAACUGUUGUUUUUUUAUGUAUCUAAUAUUUAUUUAAUAAGCUAAUUUGGCAUAUAAAACCGUUUUUGGUUGAAUUUUGAAAAACCUAAAUUAUAUUUAUUAUUAUUUUAUCAUUGAUCUCAUCGUAGUCAAUCCCAGUGCGUGUUAGUGAGAGACUUUACGUUAUAAGGUGAGUCUAAGAUCUUGUUCUCACUACGCUAUCUAACGAAGACAUAUUUGACAGGGUUUUAUAUUUGCAGUGUCGGCAUCACCUGGCCCAAGAACCUAUCUCUUCGUUAUGUUGGAUUGCAUAUUUCCGUUAGGCCAAUAUAUUACGUCGAUUUAUCAACGAAGUGUGGUUUGAUAAUAAACUCAUUAUUCCACGUCCUCAUAUACACUAGUGUAAUACUUGUAGAGAUCUCUAUAUGGAUUCGAUUUGACAUUGAGGCAUCCCCCAAUGAUAAUCACAAUUCAGACUUCAUGAGACGGAUUUGAGUAUCACUGAUCUAUGGAUCAGGGAUCAGGUUAUGCCAACCUUGCUUUCUUCCUUGAGCGAGUAAGUAUCGAACCUAAGGGCCUCCCUUCUUUCUUUGGGGAGCCACACGGCAUGUGAUACCAUGUUGCCACAUUAUGGCAUCACUUUAUCACCCUUCAUGGUGAUUUGGUCGCGCCAUGUCCUCUUGAUUGGACAUCAUUCCUUGCAGACAUAUUUGCAGCAUGUGAUCUCGUCACUUUUAGGGAUUAAGAUGAGAUUUAGUGGGGACAAACUACGACAAUUCACGUCGUUCUACUUGAACACUUGUGUUCUUAUCUCCCCCUAACGGCGGGAAUGUUAUCCCAUCAAAGUGACAUUCCGCAAAUAUAGUUGUAAAAGAGAUCAUCUGUUAAGAAGUCUACAUAAGUGGACUAUUGGUGGAGAUUCACAUCCAACCUAAAAACUUAUUCAUCUCAGACGACCCAUCAUUAGGCAUUGUGGCAGUGCAAUUUGGCACUUUGCCGAGCUCAAGGAUUGGAGAUCUGUUUUAAUUCUGCCGAGCUCAAGGAUUGUAAUUCUGUGUCAAUCCUCGCACACAGUUACAAGCUGUCAUGCAAUAAAUUCAAUGAUGGUAGGUCGUGGACGAAUUAGUAAAGCUGCAUGCAAUGUAACCUUAACAGAUGUAUUGGUGCACAUUGACCAAUCUCAAGACUAUUAUCGUAGUCAUUUUACGUGAGAUCAAAUAUGUUAUAAAUAUCAAUACCCAUUUAUAUGUAAUAGUCAUCAACCCUUUAAUGAAAACUUCUUUAAGAAUGGGUAGCAAGCUCAUAGAAGUAUAAUGUCACACCCCAACUCAAGUAAAGGACUAAGCUUGAGUUAAGGCAUGAAUCGCAUUCUAAUUACAGACAGUUUAUUAUCCGUAAUUAAAAUGAGAUAGAUAUCGUAACAUGACGUAAGAAACUACAACCUUCGUACCUUUAUUUAGAUUACAAGCCUUAUAAGAAGGCGCACUUAUAGGACACAUGCUUAAAGCAUUUACAAACAAAUAACAAACAAACUAGAAUAGCGUUUCUUUUCAAAACGUCCAUUCUUUAUUCAAGCCUUAUUUUACAAAAGAAAGCAUGAAAACCUUAAUUUACAUAUAACACUCUCUAUGCUUCACGAAUACCACCUGCAAGGGGUUUGAUGUGGGGUGAGCAACGGUCAGUAGGGCUAGUUAAUAUAUUAAUAAAACAUCAUCAAACAUAAAACAAACUAACAAACAUGGCAUAUCAAGAAUGCAUGGAUGCAAUAUGAACUCAACUCUCUUCCCACACCUUACUUCACCCUCGAAUAUAAUUUCUCCAUUUGUUAGUCGUCUUGUUAUACUCAUGGUCUCCCGAUCCGCAACCCAAUAAGAUCAUUUUAUCGAUGUCCGCCAUCGAAAGGGCAUACUUUUCCUACAUUUGUGCACGUGUGGGCUAAUCAUAGAUCCCGAGGACAACCCAUGAGGAAACUCAACUACACAAAUGGUUUCCUAAUAACAAAAUCUCAUAUAUUCCCAAACACUCACUCCAAUUUCACCUCCAACCUCACUCGUUUUCCACCAAUGUCAUGUAAUAUAGAUUCAAAAUAAGAGCACAUGCUUUCAAAUAUAGAUAUAUCAUAAUCAAUUCAAGAUCUCAAUAUCAUCUACAUUUAAUUCGAAUAUUGCCACACAAUUCAAUGUCAAACAAUUCAAUAUCAAACAACUCAAGCAAUAGCCACACAAUAGCAUAAUAAAAGCAAACACCCCAUCAAACCCUACCUCGAUUUGCAUAGCACAAACUCGAGCUCAAACUUCACUCCUUAAACUUGUGGAUCACCAAAAUCGUCUCCGGAACCUUACCAAAAGGUAAAGUACAUAUAAAGAUUGAUGAAUUAAAGUUAGUAACUAUGUUAUAAGUAGUUCACAUAAAUAAGAAACUCUACUACUUUAAACUAUAUAAGAGAUACUAAACAACACUCAAAACUUGUUUACAAAGCUACUGAAAAUAAAGAAUUCAGCUAUUACUGAAACUGAUUUAGAACCACAUUUCAGUUUCAGCCUUGUUUUAAAAACAGUGGGCAGUAGCCCCUUUUUGGUUUAACUUUUCACCUACUGAACUCCAACAAAAGCUUCUGAAACAAAGCCUACUUUAAAAAUGGGAUUACAAGCUUUAUGUACAUAGCUUAAGUUUUGAAAACAAAGCCCUGGAUAAGAAGUUAAGCUUUCUCAAAGUUGUAACAAAAAUCUGAAAACUUAGAAAGUUCAGUUUUGCUGAGUCUGCUACUAUUUUUGGCAAGCUAUUUGUCAAACCAAAAGGUAACCAAAACCUGUGAAAUUUAACACACACAAAGAUGGAUAUAUGAGCUUUACAAAGGUACUUUUUGAUUUCAAAACAAAGGCCUGAGCUGAAGGAUAUCCUCCCUCAAAGUAGGCAAGAAAAUCAACUUUUCUGCAUAAUUCUGGAAAGUUGUAGCAACUAACAAACUUGAUUUUUGGAAGCUUUAAAUCGAUUUUUAGAGUAACAAAUGGAGUUCUAAAGCUCUAAAACAGAAAGGGAACAAUUCCAAAACAUUAGAACGAUUUUAAACAUAACAAACAGUUGAAUCAAAAAGACCCAUAAAUUGAUUUGGACACCCAAAUUCAAGAACAAGGUUCUUGAGCUUCAACAACAACGAUUCUAAUUGAAACCUAACACAACUGAUUCGAACUGGAUUCCUAUCUCUACAAGUCUGAGAAUUCGAAAUUACCAAUCAUAAUCAAACAAAGUAAAUAGAAUUGAGAGAACCUAUGCACAGAUUGAAAUAAAGCUAGAACAAGAAGUGGAUCUACCUUUGCCAAAAACGAAAAUUGAAAGGGGUGUUCCUCUCUCUACUUCUGUGUUUCUGGUUCUGUCUCGUUUCCUCACUUUUGGUUUUGAUCGAAUCACUCAGCCGACCUCCCCAUCUCAACCUAAUCUACUAGGCCAAGACCCAACUCUCCUAGACUAGCCAACUCUACUCUAUAGGUACUCCCAAUGUUUGACAGCUCCUGCUUGCUUCCUAACUACAAGCAAUUGUCUAAAAGAAAACUAAGAAAGGCUGCUGUGUUUCAAAGAGAAACGCAGCUCAGGUGGUUUUUAUUUUUUAUUUUUUUUCGAAAACAAAAAUAAAAUACCCCAAAAACUUAAUAAAUCAUAGAGAGCAUCUCCAACAGCAUUGAUAAAUUGAAAAAAAUUAGAGAUUUAUCAAAUUUUAAAUGAAUCUUUGCUCCAGCAGUAUACUUAAGAAAUUGAUAAAUUUAGAAAUUGAUAGAGAAAAUUGAUAAAUUUAUCAAUCUUUGAGAGACAAUUAACUAAAAUUUAGCUAAUGUAUACAAUUUAGCAAUACUGCUGGAGCAAAAGUUCAAAAAUCACUGUUGUAAAUCUAAAUGUUGACAAAUUUAACAAUAAAUUUAAAUGUACUGCUGGAGAUGCUACUAAGUAAACCAAAUUAGCCAUUUCAGAAUGUAACAUAUAAGCAUAAGUAGUAAACGAUGGUGUAACGCAUGACCGAUAUAACACUUCAACCAACACCUUAUCAACACCAUAAAAGCAUAUAAGGUGUCUGCAAGUUGGUUGUAUAUGUCUACAUAAUCCCUUUUUAAAUUUUUUGCAAGAAUGGAAUGUUUUUUUUUGUGUCAUAUAGGAGGAUCUCGCUCCUAAUUGAGCUAAAGAACAAGCUUUACAAAAUGAAACAGUGGGCGUCGGAAAAAAUCAUCGACGCAUCGGGGGAAGGCCGGGAUGCCUCGAUUGCUCGAGCACAUGGCCGAGCGGCUUCCAAGACGUCGGAGCCGUGGGUGACUUCAAUGUCUCCCGGUGGCCGCCAUUUACAACCAUGGCGCCGUCAGGUGACACUAGUUCUCAAAUGUUUUCAUUUUGAGCGGAAGAAUGAAUGUCCAUGAGAACUUCGCAAAAUUUGGACCAUCAUAUCUCUUCCGGGAUGACUUCAAUGUCUCCCGGUGGCCGCCAUUUACAACCAUGGCGCCGUCAGGUGACACUAGUUCUCAAAUGUUUUCAUUUUGAGUGGAAGAAUGAAUGUCCAUGAGAACUUCGCAAAAUUUGGACCAUCAUAUCUCUUCCGGGAUGACUUAAAUCAUGAUCAUGCCAAAGCUUGUAUGAGUCGAUGUCCCAAAAUCUCUUUAUUGGCGACCACAUAUGAUUCGAAUAGUGACAUACAGUCCACUAGAUUGACUCAUGGUUCUCUCCAUAAUGCGCUCAUUCGCACUCAUGAGAAGUCUACACAAAAGUUUCUACCAUUCUCAUAAUGAGUUUCAUAUGGUAACAGUUGGCGUGUGUGUUCUUAAAACAUAACAAGGUUCGAUUGCCUCUCAAUACAUAGAGGGAAUAUGUGACAUUGAUCAUGGUGCCAUGAGGCAACAAUAAUUGAUUUAAACUGCGUCAAUGAAUGACCGGUGAUGAUCCAAUCAUCGUAGUCACAACAAAUUUACAAGACACUAAAUCAAGAAUUAGUUGCCGGUUCCUUAGAAUCUUGUGGGUAAUUCCACUAACUGCGAGGCACUCAAUGUCUCCGUGAGACAUAUCUACCAAAGGAGAGUAGAUCGAUAUAUGAGUAAAUAUUCACACACGAACUAUUUUGAAGGAUGCAAAACAAGUUGCAAUCCCGAGUGCAAAACAAAAUUUCCAAGCAACAUGACCUUUGCGCACUAAAACAGUCAUAACUUCUUCGUUAAAAUAGAUAUGAAUGAACCGUAAAAAGUUCUGGAAACUAGACUCAAAUAUCUUUCCAGUGAUAUAAAAACAUGUUCUAGUUCAUCCAUAGCUGAUCACAAAGCUCGUACAAAAUUGACUGUUAAGAAAAUCAGUUUUCUGGUUUUCACAGUUUGGCAUGUGCAAAGCUUCCAAUGCUUGCAUAUGGCGUGUAGGCCUAUGCCUUAGCCAAAAACGACAUGUUUAUAUAUCAAAGAUGGGGUAUUACAAGUCUACAACAUCUUAUACAAGAUGACAAUUAGUUAGAUAGCGUGAAAUCCAUUGUAAGAAAAGACUUAACCACAAAAACAUGUGGCACUCCUCCUUGAGGGUGCGUUGCCGUGCGUCUCCUCUCCUUGCAAGAGAGACAAAAUCUCGGCGUAAUCCACUCAUUUGGAUUACAAAUCAUGCCAUGUUCUAAGGACGAUGUAAAUUGUACAUCUUUCAAACCAUAAGAGACAAUGGAAGGAUACUUCCAAUGCUUGAAAAAUUCUUCAACAUUGUGCCAACGACUUCAUCGAGGUCACAAACUGUAAAAACAAUAAGCUAGGGACAUCGAUACGUCGUUUGUUUACAUAUAGCUUGGAAAAAAAAUCAAAGUCUCCCUCGAUGACGUCAAAGUCAGAGGCAACUAGAGCAGGAUCCGAAACUAUAAAGUUCGCGAUCAUGAGGAUGACAUUCUUGUUCUCAAUUUGAUUUUCCGUACAAUUGAUCUCCAAAGAUCCUUUGUACACUUUGUAUGCAUUCACGACUUGAGGAUGAGCUCGACAAUUCUGGAACCAGUGAUCCGAAUAUCUACAACGGUUGUAUUGCCCUGAGCUGGCAUGAGUAGUUUUGACAAGUUGGUGUCUAGACCGGGAGCGCCUCCACUAUGGCCGACUGUGCCUUCCCUUCUUUUCUAGACAUUGGCGCGGCUUCUUCUACCUUUGUCGUGACCCACAUUGUCUUCCCCACACUAAGGAUUAGUCCCACGGACGCAUGCUGAUACAUUGAUCUCAUUAGCAUAUAUGCAAUACGCAAUUCCCUUUUGCAAUAGUUUCCCGCUAAAGAUUAUGGAUCACGAUGCCACAAAACAUCAUCGAUGAUAUGUAGUCAAAUAAGUGGUAAUCAAUCCAUGUGACUAGUAACUCAACAAGUAGAGUUAUAUGGAUGUUUUAAAAAGGUGCAUUCCACAGUACUUCGUGGUCAUUACUUUUUACCAGGGGCGGAUCUAGGUACAAGCACCAUGGGACUCAAGUCCCACCCAAAUAUUUUGGGGAAAAAAAUUACUACUUAUAGUUAUCAUUAGUUUUAUGGUGUGAUUGUAAGAUUGUUGAGCUUAAGUCCCACUCAAAUUCCUUCAUCUUGUACAAUUACUAAUCAAAUAUUUUUUGGGAUAGUCUCACUCAAGUCCUAGCUAGCAUUGACGUGAUCCAAGUGUCUAUCGUAUAUUUAAUUUCAUUUUUGUUAAAGAAAGAGAUAAGGUUCUCUAUCUUCUCAAAAAAGAUAAACGUCUAUGUUGUCUGUUGUUUUCUUUUCUUCCUUGCCAUACCCUUGUCACGCAGCAUCGGUGAGGACGCGAGGUUGUCGGUCUUAUUGAAAUGCUUAUUUAGUUUUUUUUUUUGUUAUGUCUAAAGUGUUUUAUGAAUUAAACAAACAUUGGAGUGGUAAAGGCCCACUACGUCCUUUAUGACUAGGUUUAUCUUUAUUUUCAAUCUAUAAAUUUCUCUAACACCGUCAAAAAAAAUUUCCUACUAAAAAUCCAAGUCCCACCCGAUUGCGAUUUCUGGAUCCGCCCCUGCUUUUUACCCAUGUCAAUGUGGUGCCUCAUACUUUGAGCGCGAGAGAUUUUCAAUCUCGGCAUCUAGGCUUCUUANNNNNNNNNNNNNNNNNNNNAUGUUGUCUGUUGUUUUCUUUUCUUUCCUUGCCAUACCCUUGUCACGCAGCAUCGGUGAGGACGCGAGGUUGUCGAUCUUAUUAAAAUGCUUAUUUAGUUUUUUUUUUUUGUUUAUGUCUAAAGUGUUUUAUGAAUUAAACAAACAUUGGAGUGGUAAAGGCCCACUACGUCCUUUAUGACUAGGUUUAUCUUUAUUUUCAAUCUAUAAAUUUCUUUAACACCGUCAAAUUCCCACUCAAAUUCCUUCAUCUUGUACAAUUACUAAUCAAAUAUUUUUUGGGAUAGUCUCACUCAAGUCCUAGCUAGCAUUGACGUGAUCCAAGUGUCUAUCGUAUAUUUAAUUUCAUUUUUGUUAAAGAAAGAGAUAAGGUUCUCUAUCUUCUCAAAAAAGAUAAACGUCUAUGUUGUCUGUUGUUUUCUUUUCUUCCUUGCCAUACCCUUGUCACGCAGCAUCGGUGAGGACGCGAGGUUGUCGGUCUUAUUGAAAUGCUUAUUUAGUUUUUUUUGUUAUGUCUAAAGUGUUUUAUGAAUUAAACAAACAUUGGAGUGGUAAAGGCCCACUACGUCCUUUAUGACUAGGUUUAUCUUUAUUUUCAAUCUAUAAAUUUCUCUAACACCGUCAAAAAAAAUUUCCUACUAAAAAUCCAAGUCCCACCCGAUUGCGAUUUCUGGAUCCGCCCCUGCUUUUUACCCAUGUCAAUGUGGUGCCUCAUACUUUGAGCGCGAGAGAUUUUCAAUCUCGGCAUCUAGGCUUCUUAGCCUUGGGGUCAAAAUAUAUGGUGUAAUCUUUUCCAAUGAAAAGUUCCACAGAUACCCAAUGAAUAUUUGCCUUAGGCAUUGAGUAAGUCUAAACUCGAAUGAGCAGAAUGUUACCUUGCUCUUGCAUACACAACCAAGCUGUUAUAAGACUUGAUAGAGGUCACAAAACAAUGCUUUAAUGGUUUGUCCUUUCCUCCUUUCUCCAUCCUCGUUCUAUGCUUGAAAUUUGGUGUGUGCAGGGAGAAUCCCAGAACUACGAGCGUUCCUGGGUCCGAGUUGUAUGGUAUCAACGUUGGUCUUAUUACCCCCCCCCCCCCCGGCGGAGUUAUUUGAACUUCGAAAUAACUUGUAUAUAAAAGAUUACUUGCUAGUCUGCCAAAUAGACUGCGUUAAUAGUAGCAUUUUGCAAUUUCCAUGCUUAGUUCCAUGUGCAUGCGGCGAAGUUGCUUGCGUAAUUACAUUUCGAUUCGUCACGCGAUAAUAUCAUGGAAAAUAAAACAUAUGGUUAGUCAUAGUCACCAUAUAUAUAAACGUAAACCUUUCAAAACUUCAAAAUUUGAAAGAAAACGCUGAAAAAUUAAGCCGAAGGAAGUCAAUAAUCGAUGGCGGACGGCAGCCGGAAGAUUUGUUGUCGGAGGUUGUCAGACAGCAGCGGUUGGGGAAGCAAGCGGACAGCGACUGCGGUCGGACAGAGGAGCCGAGAGACUCUUUUGGCUUUUAGGGUUUCGAAAAAACAAAUGGUGGGCUAUUAACUCUAAGGUUUCGCUAUCAACUCAGGCUAGAGCAGAGUGCAUGAUAACGAAUUAUAGAGAGAAUUAUUAAGAGAAUAAUUGAGAGCAAAGAGAAUAGAGAAUCACCUUCUUAUUCAUAUGAUAGGAGCCCUUUAUAUAGGGAUUACAUAGCACCUUUAGGUGUUGUACAAGGAAACAUAUCUUUGAUAUCUUAUCUCUAUACGGAAUCAGGAUUUCUUGUUUAACUAGCAUUAGACCAAGACACACACAUGUGCAAUAUUCCUGCAACAGCUCCAUCAAAGUUAGACAAUACUAAACCAGCCAGGGGGUAUAAAUUUUUAAAUGAUGCAUCCAUUUAAUUUUUUCAAAAUUUCAUUCAUUAUAUUCUACUUCUAAUAAGUUGUGAUUUGCGUUAGUUUUUGGAAUAGAACUUGCAUUAUGAUAUUUGGUUUUAACUUAUAUGUUGGUCACUAUUUGAACUUAUGCGAUAAGUGAAUUUCAACAAAAUAUUUUCUUUGAGGUGAUCUUUUCAGAAUCGAAUAUAAUAUUUUUUCAUACAUCAAUCAUAAGUUUUCCAAGCAAUUAUCAAUUGAGAAAAAAAAAAAAAAAAAAAUUUAACCAAGCAAUUAUCGAAAAUGAGAUUUUCAGUGAUUAUAUAUUGUCUUGGUUUAAUUUAGGAUUAAAUUCAGUUUACCCUCUUAAACUUUACCUCUAAAAUCAGUUUGGUUCAUGAACUUUUUUUUUAAUCAGAAUGAUAAUCCCUAUACUUUCAAUUUUCCAUCAGUCGUCUUCAAAUUUUGAAUUUAACUCUAACCAUAACGUCACAUACUUAGUUGGCUUCGACAUAAGGGCCCAUUUUUCAAACUUUGACCCUCUCAGCAGGGUAUAAUUGACAUUUACACAUAUUAAACAUUAAUAAUAAACUCACUAAUUCUCUUCCUAUCAAAAAAAAUAAUUAUAAUUCUCUUCCUCUCUAAUCUCUAUAUUUCUCUCAUCAUUUACUCCGAUGACCCCUCUUCUCUUCUCUAUGCCUUUUCUGAUGUCAAUCAAUCUCAAGUAGGAGGAGGCCAAGCUCUUCCGACUUGAUCCAUGAAUUGUACUUGAUCUAAGAAUUCCUAUUCAUCUUCACAGGGAUUGGUGGCGGCACAUACUCCAUGUUGGGGGUGGAGAGGGAUUGCUAAGAAGGAAGAUGAAGAGAAGGGGCAGCACCAAGGAAAAGGCUUUUCACCACUUCAAUUUUAGAUUCUAAUUUCUAUUUUUCUUUCUUCCAUCUCGUUCAAUUUUUUCUUUUUUGUGUUCAUAUGAAUGCAUUGGUAUUGGUUGCUUUAGAUUUUGGUUUUUAUUUGGGUUUAUGAGAUAGCUUUUGCGGGUUGGAUAUAUAUGUCUUAUCAUUGAGUUUCUAGCAAAUCUAGUGUUCUAGAUGUGUGUGGUUUGAAAGUGAAGAGAUGGGUGUAAGACAGAAACAGAUGGUAUAGAAGUGUACUUGUUGGAGAUGGGAGGGUGUGGUUGAGCUGAUGAUCAGUUGAGUAAACCUAUGAAGGGAUCUGAGUUUCGGGGGUUAUUUAUCCAAAUUUUAGGUCAAUUUCUGAUAAGUGGGUCCUCAUGUCGUGGCCAACUCAGCUUGUGAUGUCAUGUUUACAGUCAAAUUCGAAAUUCAGAGACAACUUAUGUAAAUUGAAAGUAUAAGGAUCAUCCUGAUUAAAAAAAAAGUUCGGGGAUCAAACUGAUUUUAGAGCUAAAGUUUGAGGAGGUAAACUGAAUUUAAUCCUUUAAUUUAAUAGUUCAUUCUCCGAAGUAGUUUUCGGAAUUAAGUGUUAUGGUUUUAUUUGUCGACUUUACUCGUGAUUUAUUGAAAAUGGGAUUUUCGGUAUAUUUUUAUAUUUCUCAUUUAUUUGUUGGGUAUUGAUCUUGACAUUGUGAUUGUUAUGACGAGUAUUUAGAUUUGACAUAUAUUAUUUACGAUUUACACUUUAUGAUUUAAUCUCACUUAUAAUUAUUGAUUUGUGAAUGUUACAACGUGUGAGACCCGUCGUUAAAUUUAAUUUUCUUUUCUCUUGAUAAUCUCUAAGUACGUUCUACAUUUGCAAGAUCUUGAGGAAGAUUUAUGAUUUUAUAGUGUUCGUAGGUUUUCUUUCACCAUACUAGGGUCGUCUUUAUUCAUUGUUGGCUAGCCUAUAUAUCUCUUCAUCGCCCUAGGUGUGUCGAGUCGAACAGUAGCGCGGGACGCUAUACUAGAACUUGGGAGGCUCCUUUUUACGUGGUGAUUUCUAUUCCCAUUCUCUUCUCCUUUUUAUGCUUUUGCUUUUGUUUAACCAACGGAGCUGAGUUUGUCUCUUUUUACGAGAUUUCUAGAUUUAAAGCUAAACGUUUUAUAUGUUGCAUGCAUCGAAGUUUUUAAGGUUUAAAAUAUGGGAAAAUAUUUAAAUAAUGUUUAUGUUAAAUUAUUCUAUUUAUUUUUGUUCAUUCACUCUAACAUUUUUUAAAUACUUUUCCUAGGCCUUUCGUUUUCAAGUACCCAGUUUGCAAACUUGAUUAUUUGAGGACGGGCAUAUAUAGAGUCGUGGCAUAGUCAGCAGCACAACUUCCGCAUACUCAUUUUUCUAUAUUGCUACCCUUCAUUAGAUUUGUUUUAAAUUGGUGAAAUUGUUGUUGGUCAAUUUAGCUUUGGUAUUUGUACAUUGGGAGGUGUUUUGACCUUGGGAGUAGGGUGGCUCCAUGAUUAUAUGGUUGGGUUUUUUGAGAAAUGUAAUUGUGUUUUUUAUAGGAUAGGUAGUCCACAUUUAUGGGUUAUUUUUUCGAAAUUUUCGAUGAAGUUAUUCUUAAAGUGGGUCUCGCAUGAUCUCUUCGAAUUUAGGGUGAAAUCCGGGAUGUGUCCUAACAAAAAUGGUCUAUAAUUGAAAUCAAGAUCGCAUACGAUGAUCGCAACUAAUGUAUGGAACCGGGUUCAUAUCCUCCUUUAGUGGAUUUAGACCUUGGGCUUUAAACCUUGGACUUACUAUCAGUGCAGGUUAUAAUUAUGUGUUGAAAUAAUAUCAAGAAUCUCUAUAGAAGACAUGUAUUUGAACAAGCACCAACUAGUAAACAGUGUUAUACUAGCUACUCUUUUUCUAGUCUCAAAAUUUUGGAUUUUCAUAGUUGUUGGAGAAACUCUAUUUACACACAUACUCUAGAACAAAAAGGAAGACAAUCCUUCAUAAAAGGAAAUAAGAUGAAUUAGAUACCCUCCUCUACAUUUCCAUAUGACUCUUUUUUGUUAAAUGACAUACCAUGUAAGAGAAACGAAUAUUCGCAUAUAGAUUCGCAUAAACGCUCUAUAUAUUGGAAUUUUACUUAGAUUUACUCCCAACUGCAGCACUUGUGCACACAAAACUCUGCACACCAAAGAAGACUAUAAUUUGCGAUAUACAAGUAUUAGAGUGAAACAUUGAGAACCCACAAAGACUUCUCUUCAAUUUAAGCUAUAACCAGACGUAGGGAAAACUAGAAAAAUUUUGUGUUUGGGAUUAAUCAUGUGUAUGUCUCGAUCUAUUCUAUUCUCCUAUUUUUUCUAUUCAUUUCUCAUUUCUCAUCUUUCAGACGUUUAUUUGAUUUGGUAGUUUAACAGUCUUUAUUGAUUUUUCAUUUAUCAUCGUCUGGAAUUAAGUUAUUUGGCAAGUUGAUGGGAAUGCCUAAUUCCUCUGCAGCCCAACCAGAAGAAGAUGAUAUCACAUUGUCACAAUUAGAGGCCCCCGUGUUGACCGUCCACUUAAUGGACCCACUCAAAGAGUUAGAGCAGCUUCAAAUGUUGCUUAGAUACCGGCUUCUUCGACAAUGGAUCACGGAGAACUGGAUAUGUUUCAUCCAGUUCCAAGACAUUACAGAAGGCCAAAAUGGUUGCAUCCUGACUGGCAAUUCACAGCAGUGACCCGUCUAGGAGGUAAAAGCGUCGGGAAAGUUGAUAAGAUAAAUGCAUUUCUCUUCUUAAAUUUUAGUUGUUUUCUUUAAUUUUAUCGCCGACAGUUCUUAUAUGGAUGUAAAUCUCGAUAGAAAGAGUUUGCGAUUGCUCUGUUUAAAUUAUGUCAGUUACAUUUUGAUAUUAAUUAGGGUGGAAUCUCACUCAAAAGAAAUAAUUCCAGUUAAGAUCUGACUCGACGAUUGGAUACGAGAGGUCAAGCUCAUGACCGUAGAAGAAACUUUGAAACGUGGGCUUCAUGCUUGCUUAUUUAGGAGACAGUUUUAAAGGACUACGAGGGAUAAAUGUAUUUUAACCACAUGUAUUAAAUUAUAAAGCAUGAAUAAUAACAACUUAAACUUUGAGGCUGACGCCAUGUGCACUGCCUCAAAUGAUAAGGUCGUCGCCCUGUGCUGCCACCAAGUUGAAGUCUCUUCGACACCGAUCCCAACCAAGAAGGGGCUUCGGCUCUCUCCAAAACCUAGCCAUUAGGGGUACGAUUCUUAAACUUGGAUCGAUUUCGGUCUCCGUCGUAAGUGCACUUGUCCCUCACAAUCCUUCAAAAACUGUCCCUUAAGUGAGUAGACAUUCUCCUCUAAAAACUACUCAUAAUCUUUCAUACUUAAAUUAAGGUUCAAGUACAUAGUGCAAUAUUAGCCAUUCAUAUGUGAGGACCACCAUACAUACGUAUUAAUGUCAUCUAAUCUUAGUCAUUCACGCGGUAUUUAAGUGCGAAAACCUUAUAAACUUGUUUCAUCAUUAACAAGAGGGUUUUUUUUUUUUUCAAUAAACAAUUGAAAUACAACAACUACCCUAUAUAUCAUGAGUUGAACUCACAACCUCUCACUUAUAAAAUGGGCUUAUGUCAUUAAACUAAAUGGAUAUUUAGUGAAAUUACCAAAUCUUUUUAUACAUUGUUUUUCAAUAGAAAGAAACAUUUCUAUAAUCCACCUCGACCCGAUCUAAACAACCUAACUACAUGAAUAACAUAUCCUAGAGCAGCUAAGGAAUUGCGUCUCUCCAAACAUGAACAAAAUCAAGUCCGAAAGGGACGAAGCUAGAAUAUUGAUAUCUCGAAUGAGCAUACGAAUGCGCCAAGGAAUUUAAUAACAAAUCCAGUCUUUCACUAAGAUUUCAAAUAGUUGUCCCGAAUUUAAGUUGAGUAUGUUUUGCCUCUUCCUCGGAGAAAGACAAUCAAAUAAUUCCCAAUCAUGGUCCUUGCGAAUUGGAUCAUCCAUAUAAUAUACAAAAAGAAACUCCAGAUAUUUGAUAUCUUUCUCUUUGAAUGAUAACUUGUUGAAACCUUCUCGAAGAGCUAGGGCAUAGCCUCUAGAAUUGGGUUCUUCCGUAAUUUACUUUUUAAAACAUAAUCUUCCUGAUUUUUUUUUUUGUUACAAAAAAUUUAGGUGAGAGCUUGAUUAAGUUACAACACCAUCGCAAAAACAAACAGUGGACAUGUACUUGUCACACCAGCCCCUAUAGUACGGGUUUCUUUUUCUACAUUAGAAUUUACAGAUUGCAAACCAUAAUCUUGUUGAUUCUUUUUUUUUUUUUUACAAUUGUUAUAAAGGGAAAGCCGAAGCUUUAGCCUCCGAGUCGGGGCCUCACUCUCCCCAUGGAUGCUUUUAUCCAAAGCAAGGUUUGAACCUUCGACCUAUUACCAGUAUCGAAGCAACGUUCGUCCUGUUUGGAAGCCCAUUGGAUUGUAAUAAUCUUUUAACAGUCCUUGGUAUUAAAUUACGGUAAAUGUAAAAAAAGGAAUGACUCCAAAUCAGGCAUCUAGAAUAAUUCGCGAGGCUGGUACCAAGGCCCAUGGAUAUGGAGCCCAGCCCAGUAAACGGAAACCCUGACCUUAUAUAACACUCACACCACUGGUUCCCAACCCUCACAAUCUCUCCUCAGUCCCAAUCUUGCUCUUGGUGGCUGCCGAGAGUCCUCCUCACGCUCUCUCUCUCUCUCUCUCUCUCUCUCUCUCUCUCUCCAGGUUCGUCUCUCCUCAAUUCUUUUUCAUUAUUCUAUUCCCCUCUGAUUAUAUUCCUAUUAUUCAAAUCUGCUGCUACUUGUUGUUUGUAUUAUUCGCAUCACUCUUUUCGCUAUCGAUUUUGUUGUCUCCGUGAUCGUUUUUCCUUUGCUUAUUCCUGCAUGCGUUUCGAUACUGUUGUAUUUCGAUUUUGUAUAUAUGAAUAUUUCGACUUUGAAAUCGUUGUAGAUGAUUGAUAUGUGGAUAUAUGUGAUCUGUGCUAGAUCGUUGCGGUUUUGUAUUGAUCUCAGUGGAUGCUCUGUUUUGUAGUGAUUUUCUGAUGUGGUUUUUCAAUUAUGGAAAAUUUUACGUCAGAAAAUUUGAUUUUCUUUGUUUUUCUGAGUGAUUGUGCUGUAGAUCGCCGCUUUGGUUGUUUCCGCAAGUUCGGACGUGAAAUGCUUUUGACGUGGAAAAAGUUUUGAUUUUUUUUUGGAUUAAUCGGUGCUAAUCUUGUGUGAUUGUUUCGUAUGCUUGAUGUUUGUUUUGACUAGUUAUUUGGCUGUAAUUCGUCCUCAAAGGUGACAACUUUUUUUCUUCUUUGAAUUGUCUCCUGUUCUCUGUGUAAAAGAUUGCUGAUUUUAUCUGGAUUGUUUGAAAUCAGAGGUGAAAAUUAUCUGAUGUUUUUCCUGUGAAAUCCAGUUGAGUUUGCUUUCAAUAUGUUUAUAGCAGGUUUUAAAGAAGGUUGUGUGGAUUUACUUGUGUGUGCAAAGAUUUGAUAGUAUAUGUAUGAGAUGGUUUCUGAAUAUGUAACUAUUUGCAGACUUGAUUAAUUGCGAUAUGGAUUUUAGGAAAUAUGUGAUUUGUGAGUUUCUUAUAUAACUGCUAUGAUGUUUAUUGCCCAUUUUGUAACUGCUUAAUUUUACUUUUCUUGUUUGCAGGUGGUAUUUGAUUACUGAGGUGACAUUUACAAUCAGUCAAGAUGGUAAGUCACUCUUUUUCUAAUUGCUUCCUUUGUGGGUUGCUGAAAAAAUUUAACCUGUCAUUUUAACGGAGAUAAAUUUUCUGUAUGAGCAGGUGAAGUUUACGGCAGAAGAGCUGCGUAGGAUUAUGGACUACAAGCAUAACAUUCGUAAUAUGUCUGUUAUUGCCCAUGUCGAUCAUGGUAAUUAUACACCAUUCUCACUUUUUUUGCUCACCAAGUAUCAAUUAUGUUUGGAAAGUAUUUCAUUCUUGAAUUCAUGGUUUCUGAACAACAAAAGAGCAUUUCUGUGGGUCUUAAAAUUAUUUUAGAUGUCAAAAUGUGUCACUUUUUUUACUAUCAAUUUAGGCUGGAAUGCAGUUGAGAGAUGUUUGAUAUUGUUCUGGGGAAUGUUAUCCUAUCUUGUUCAAUCAUGUUUGAUUUGUCAUGUUGCAUCUGUACUGCAGUGAGCUAAUAAUGUUGAUUUAUGUUUCCACUCAGGUAAAUCAACCCUUACAGACUCCCUUGUCGCUGCUGCCGGUAUCAUUGCACAAGAAGUUGCUGGUGAUGUCCGGAUGACUGAUACCCGUGCUGAUGAGGCAGAGCGUGGUAUUACAAUUAAAUCUACUGGAAUCUCUCUUUACUACGAGAUGACUGACGAGUCUUUGAAGAGCUUCAAGGGAGAGAGGAACGGAAAUGAGUACCUUAUCAAUCUCAUCGAUUCUCCCGGGCACGUUGACUUUUCAUCUGAGGUUACUGCUGCUCUUCGUAUUACUGAUGGUGCCCUUGUGGUGGUGGAUUGUAUUGAGGGCGUGUGUGUCCAAACUGAGACCGUGCUCCGUCAAGCCUUGGGAGAAAGGAUCAGGCCUGUUUUGACUGUUAACAAGAUGGACAGGUGUUUCCUUGAGCUCCAGGUGGAUGGCGAGGAGGCCUACCAGACAUUCCAGAGGGUUAUUGAGAAUGCCAAUGUCAUCAUGGCUACCUACGAAGACCCUCUUCUUGGUGAUGUCCAGGUGUACCCCGAGAAAGGAACAGUUGCUUUCUCUGCUGGUUUGCACGGUUGGGCAUUCACUCUCACCAACUUUGCCAAGAUGUAUGCAUCUAAGUUUGGAGUUGAUGAGUCAAAGAUGAUGGAAAGGCUCUGGGGUGAGAACUACUUUGAUCCAGCUACCAAGAAGUGGACCACCAAAAGCACUGGUUCUGCUACCUGCAAGCGUGGUUUUGUCCAGUUUUGUUAUGAACCAAUCAAGCAGAUUAUCAACACCUGCAUGAAUGACCAGAAGGAUAAGCUGUGGCCCAUGUUGACAAAGCUCAAUGUCACUAUGAAGAGUGAUGAAAAGGAACUUAUGGGAAAGGCAUUGAUGAAGAGGGUCAUGCAGAACUGGCUUCCGGCCAGCACUGCCCUAUUGGAAAUGAUGAUCUUUCACCUUCCCUCUCCACACACAGCUCAAAAGUACCGUGUUGAGAAUUUGUACGAGGGUCCCCUGGAUGACCAAUAUGCUAAUGCUAUCAGAAACUGUGAUCCAGAUGGUCCGCUUAUGCUGUAUGUAUCUAAGAU